rnacentral:rRNA from 1 species
UCCACGCAGUAAACGAUGAAUGUUAGUCGUCGGGAUGCAAGUCAUUUCGGUGAUGCAGUUAACACAUUAAACAUUCCGCCUGGGGAGUACGGUCGCAAGAUUAAAACUCAAAGGAAUAGACGGGGACCCGCACAAGUGGUGGAGCAUGUGGUUUAAUUCGAAAAUACGCGAAGAACCUUACCUAGCCUUGACAUUGAUAGAACACAGUAGAGAUACAGUGGUGCCCUUCGGGG